GGGGGCAUAGCUCAGUUGGGAGAGCAGCAGACUGAAGUUCAGCGUUAGUGUCACACUCUUCUGAAGGUCCCGCGUUCAAUCCGCGGUGCCCCCA